rnacentral:rRNA from 1 species
UUGGAAGGAAAAAAUGUAACAAGGUCUCCGUAGGUGAACCUGCGGAGGGAUCAUUACACAAAUAUGAAGGCGGGCUGGAACCUCUCGGGGUUACAGCCUUGCUGAAUUAUUCACCCUUGUCUUUUGCGUACUUCUUGUUUCCUUGGUGGGUUCGCCCACCACUAGGACAAACAUAAACCUUUUGUAAUUGCAAUCAGCGUCAGUAACAAAUUAAUAAUUACAACUUUCAACAACGGAUCUCUUGGUUCUGGCAUCGAUGAAGAACGCAGCGAAAUGCGAUAAGUAGUGUGAAUUGCAGAAUUCAGUGAAUCAUCGAAUCUUUGAACGCACAUUGCGCCCUUUGGUAUUCCAAAGGGCAUGCCUGUUCGAGCGUCAUUUGUACCCUCAAGCUUUGCUUGGUGUUGGGCGUCUUGUCUCUAGCUUUGCUGGAGACUCGCCUUAAAGUAAUUGGCAGCCGGCCUACUGGUUUCGGAGCGCAGCACAAGUCGCACUCUCUAUCAGCAAAGGUCUAGCAUCCAUUAAGCCUUUUUUUCAACUUUGACCUCGGAUCAGGUAGGAUUCCCAAGC